UGUCUAUCUCUACCCCUAGGCUUCUUAGCUCUUCAGUCAUCCUCAUCAUCCUCAAUCUGGUAUCGUUUCUUCUUUUGGAUUCCUGGAGCUCCCAACUCUGGUGCUCUGUUCCUGCCCUCAUCUUCUUCCUGUUCCUCGUCGCUGUCCAGCAAUUGUCGUUUCUUGGGUGCUGCCUUCAGCGGCUCUUUACCAACAGCGUCUUCCUCCUCUGGGGAUGCCAGGCCCGCUUUCUUCUUGUGGGCUAGCAAGAGGGCCCUCAGGGCUUGUGCUCGGUGCUCUUUACAGUGCUCCUCAUCAGAGCCUUGCUCUCCAGGGACUUUAGGCUGCAG
rnacentral:lncRNA from 1 species